ensembl:snRNA U6 U6 spliceosomal RNA
GUGCUUGCUUUGUCAGCAUAUAUACUAAAAUUAGAACAAUACAGAGAUCAGCAUGGCACUACGAAAGGGCCAUUUGCAAAUCCAUGAUAUGUCCCAUAUUUUU